rnacentral:rRNA from 1 species
CCUACGGGCGGCAGCAGUGGGGAAUAUUGGACAAUGGGGGGAACCCUGAUCCAGCCAUGCCGCGUGUGUGAAGAAGGCCCUCGGGUUGUAAAGCACUUUCAGUGAGGAAGAACGCCUGGUGGUUAAUACCCAUCAGGAAAGACAUCACUCACAGAAGAAGCACCGGCUAACUCCGUGCCAGCAGCCGCGGUAAUACGGAGGGUGCGAGCGUUAAUCGGAAUUACUGGGCGUAAAGCGCGCGUAGGUGGCUUGAUAAGCCGGUUGUGAAAGCCCCGGGCUCAACCUGGGAACGGCAUCCGGAACUGUCAAGCUAGAGUGCAGGAGAGGAAGGUAGAAUUCCCGGUGUAGCGGUGAAAUGCGUAGAGAUCGGGAGGAAUACCAGUGGCGAAGGCGGCCUUCUGGACUGACACUGACACUGAGGUGCGAAAGCGUGGGUAGCAAACAGGAUUAGAUACUCUAGUAGUC